UACGUAGGGCGCAAGCGUUGUCCGGAAUUAUUGGGCGUAAAGAGCUCGUGAGCGGCCUGUUGCGUCCGCUGUGAAAUCCCGGGGCUUAACCCCGGGCCUGCAGUGGAUACGGGCAGGCUGGAGGCAGGCAGGGGAGAACGGAAUUCCUGGUGUAGCGGUGAAAUGCGCAGAUAUCAGGAGGAACACCGGUGGCGAAGGCGGAUCUCUGGGCCUUACCUGACGCUCAGGUGCGAAAGCUAGGGGAGCAAAAGGG
rnacentral:rRNA from 1 species